rnacentral:rRNA from 1 species
GACGAACGCUGGCGGCGUGCCUAAUACAUGCAAGUUGAGCGCUGAAGGUUGGUACUUGUACCAACUGGAUGAGCAGCGAACGGGUGAGUAACGCGUGGGGAAUCUGCCUUUGAGCGGGGGACAACAUUUGGAAACGAAUGCUAAUACCGCAUAAAAACUUUAAACACAAGUUUUAAGUUUGAAAGAUGCAAUUGCAUCACUCAAAGAUGAUCCCGCGUUGUAUUAGCUAGUUGGUGAGGUAAAGGCUCACCAAGGCGAUGAUACAUAGCCGACCUGAGAGGGUGAUCGGCAACAUUGGGACUGAGACACGGCCCAAACUCCUACGGGAGGCAGCAGUAGGGAAUCUUCGGCAAUGGACGAAAGUCUGACCGAGCAACGCCGCGUGAGUGAAGAAGGUUUUCGGAUCGUAAAACUCUGUUGGUAGAGAAGAACGUUGGUGAGAGUGGAAAGCUCAUCAAGUGACGGUAACUACACAGAAAGGGACGGCUAACUACGUG